rnacentral:rRNA from 1 species
UAAUGCCGGAUGUUCCACAUGAUCGCAUGUGAUUGUGGGAAAGAUUCUAUCGGCGUGGGAUGGGGUCGCGUCCUAUCAGCUUGUUGGUGAGGUAACGGCUCACCAAGGCUUCGACGGGUAGCCGGCCUGAGAGGGCGACCGGCCACAUUGGGACUGAGAUACGGCCCAGACUCCUACGGGAGGCAGCAGUGGGGAAUAUUGCACAAUGGGCGCAAGCCUGAUGCAGCGACGCCGCGUGAGGGAUGGAGGCCUUCGGGUUGUAAACCUCUUUUGUUUGGGAGCAAGCCUUCGGGUGAGUGUACCUUUCGAAUAAGCGCCGGCUAACUACGUGCCAGCAGCCGCGGUAAUACGUAGGGCGCAAGCGUUAUCCGGAUUUAUUGGGCGUAAAGGGCUCGUAGGCGGCUCGUCGCGUCCGGUGUGAAAGUCCAUCGCUUAACGGUGGAUCUGCGCCGGGUACGGGCGGGCUGGAGUGCGGUAGGGGAGACUGGAAUUCCCGGUGUAACGGUGGAAUGUGUAGAUAUCGA